GGACUCUGCAUGAUCUGUCUCCAGAAGAGGCCUAAGAGAGAAUCAUGGGGACCCUCAGCAUGUGAGCAUGUGAUCUGGCAUGUACAAUCGCAAAGGCAGUUUCUCCAAACAUCUCUGUCCGAAGAAUCCGUUUGGACAUCUGGAGAAGGAAAAGGGGAAAAAUCACAGAACAAACUGGCAUCAUCCGCGAGGCUCAGGGCUGGAGUCUUGUUCUGUCAUCAUCCCCUGAACCAGUCCCCAAGAGUCACGCACCAAGCGUGCGCCACAAAAAC